AUGCUUUCCACACGGGUCGAUAGAAUCCAACAAUCCCUAGCCGCCAGAAUUCGACCCACCGUAGCCGGCGAGAGUCCACCACCGACGAGGAGAGCCUUUCCAGUUGGAACGACCACCCACAUCAGGGCAGAGGGGAACCGCGUGCAUGACCAACAAGUGGACCGACGGGCGAGAUGCUGCGCCGCGGACAAGACGGGGAGAAGAGAGGAAGGGGGCGCGCAUGGGCGGCUGGCCGACAAGGAACCAACGCGUCUCUGCCACAUCUACAAACCGCAGGUCAGUUUUCCGGCGGCUCUCCAUUUUUUUUCUCGUCGUUUCUGGGGAAGAAGGGUAGGGGAGCAAACUGGAGACUAA
rnacentral:rRNA from 1 species